rnacentral:rRNA from 1 species
GUAGGUGGCAAGCGUUGUCCGGAAUUAUUGGGCGUAAAGCGCGCGCAGGCGGUUCUUUAAGUCUGAUGUGAAAGCCCACGGCUCAACCGUGGGGGGUCAUUGGAAACUGGAGAACUUGAGUACAGAAGAGGAAAGCGGAAUUCCACGUGUAGCGGUGAAAUGCGUAGAGAUGUGGAGGAACACCAGUGGCGAAGGCGGCUUUCUGGUCUGUAACUGACGCUGAGGCGCGAAAGCGUGGGGAGCAAACAGGGAUUAGAUACCCUGGUAGUCCACGCCGUAAACGAUGAGUGCUAAGUGUUAGGGGGUUUCCGCCCCCUUAGUGCUGCAGCUAACGCAUUAAGCACUCCGCCUGGGGAUACGGCCGCAAGGCUG